rnacentral:rRNA from 1 species
AUACGGAGGGUGCAAGCGUUACUCGGAAUCACUGGGCGUAAAGGACGCGUAGGCGGGUUGUCAAGUCAGAUGUGAAAUCCUACAGCUUAACUGUAGAACUGCAUUUGAAACUGGCAACCUAGAGUAUGGGAGGGGGAGAUGGAAUUAGUGGUGUAGGGGUAAAAUCCGUAGAUAUCACUAGGAAUACCGAAAGCGAAGGCGAUCUCCUGGAACAUAACUGACGCCAAGGCGUGAAAGCGUGGGUAGCAAACAGGAUUAGAAACCCUAGUAGUCC